GCUCUUAUGGUGUAAUGGUCAGCACUCUGAAUCCAGCGAUCCGGGUUCAAAUCCCGGUAGGAGCU
rnacentral:tRNA from 2 species